AUUGAACGCUGGCGGAAUGCUUUACACAUGCAAGUCGAACGGCAGCACGGGGGCAACCCUGGUGGUGAGUGGCGAACGGGUGAGUAAUACAUCGGAACGUGCCCAGUCGUGGGGGAUAACGUAGCGAAAGCUACGCUAAUACCGCAUACGAUCUCUGGAUGAAAGCGGGGGACCGCAAGGCCUCGCGCGAUUGGAGCGGCCGAUGGCAGAUUAGGUAGUUGGUGGGGUAAAGGCUCACCAAGCCGACGAUCUGUAGCUGGUCUGAGAGGACGACCAGCCACACUGGGACUGAGACACGGCCCAGACUCCUACGGGAGGCAGCAGUGGGGAAUUUUGGACAAUGGGCGAAAGCCUGAUCCAGCCAUUCCGCGUGCAGGAUGAAGGCCCUCGGGUUGUAAACUGCUUUUAUAUGGGAAGAAACCUCUGGAUGCGUCCGGAGCUGACGGUACUAUAUGAAUAAGGAUCGGCUAACUUCGUGCCAGCAGCCGCGGUAAU
rnacentral:rRNA from 1 species